CAUAACGAUAUAAUUAAAAAGUUACUCGAUCAUCUUUAAAAAUAUAAAAGAAUAUUAUUUAGUUUAAUUUUUUAAGAUUAUAAGUUAACUACUAAUAUUUUUUAUUGCUACAUAUAGUAAUGUCUGAAUAACUAUAAAAUGGAAAUUGAAACGCAUCAAUUAUUUGUAAAAGUAAAUAUUCCAAGAGGUUAAAUAGAUAUUAUAUUUCAAUAAUUAUUUCAUGUUUAAAUUAUAAACAUUUAUAAUUUAUCAAAUGGUACAAUUGUAUUUUUUGCAAGAGGAAUUAUAAUUUUUCAUCGAUGAAUUCAAUUCUAUUGGAUCAUUAGAGAAUUGAAGUAUUUUAUGUUGAGAGACAAAACGAAGAACAUUAUAAGCAUCCUGAGAGGAUGGAAAGAAAUCGAAAGAAAGUAGAUAUACGAGGAACCGUGGUUAGACGAGGUGGAAUAAUAACAGGCUGGGAUAUAUCAAUGGGAUUCAAUAUCGAAAUGAUCCGAUGCCCGUGUGUAAGCAUGCGUGCACGCAUCGGGGGAUCUUCGCGUACAUAACUUACAUAUAUGUAACGGCUAUAAAGAUAGCGUGUAUCAGAUAGCAUAGUCUCGUGAAAGGGAAGUUGAAACGGUCCUCUUUGGCAAACGACCAACUGUUUUUCACUUGAUUCUUUUUUUUUUUUAUAAUUCAUCUUUAAUAUUGAAGAUUUACAUUAUCAAGUUAAUCAUUCAUAAAUAAUGAAGUUAACAUUGUCACGCUAGCAGUGACCUUACUGUGCAAAGGAUUCAAUUUAAUUAAUAAGGGAAAUGAAAUUUUUAUAUGUUCGAGUAUCAGAUUAUUGUCAUUCAUAAAUAAUAAAGUUAUCUUGUCACGCUAAUGAAGAAUCAGAAUACGAAAUACAUAUCAAACGAAAUUGAACGUAGAGAAAAGUUAGAAGAAAUUCUCAGUUCUUAGUUCUCAAAACAAGAUUCUUCUUCGAAACUUAUGAUAUUUCAUCCGAAUACUGGUGGAGGUUAAGCGUCUA